CACACUGGAGGAGCUGGUCCUGCUGACUGUCACCUACCCUGGAGGUAUCUAAUCUAACCCUAACCUAACCAUACCUAAUACAACACACUGGAGGAGCUGGUCCUGCUGGCUGUCACCUACCCUGGAGAGAAACUGCUCCUGAAGCCUCAGGACAGGCUCUACUCUGAUUCGCUGACAGCAGUGGGGAGGCUGCACGUGUGCAGAAAGGACCUGAGUGAAGUCAUGAGCCCGUUCACAGACAACG